UGGGAACGUGCCCAAAGGUACGGAACAACUCCGGGAAACUGGAGCUAAUACCGUAUGUGCCCGAAAGGGGAAAGAUUCAUCGCCUUUGGAUCGGCCCGCGUCUGAUUAGCUAGUUGGCGGGGUAAUGGCCCACCAAGGCGACGACGGGUAGCCGGCCUGAGAGGGUGACCGGCCACACUGGGACUGAGACACGGCCCAGACUCCUACGGGAGGCAG
rnacentral:rRNA from 1 species